AUUUGGAGUGUGUGUCGAAUUGUUGGUGUUAACCAUUAAUCUCAAAAGCUUGAGCUGUUAGAAAUACACAACCAAUUCAUUUUAAGCAUACAAAUACUCGCCCAUCCGGCCUCACGCCACUUUAAACAUGACUCGGCCUACUCAGUCUCACGCCAUUUCGAAUAUGACUCGGCCCAACAUGACCUUCUGUUACAGGACAGAAUGCUGGUCUAUUUAAGCCAAUAGUGUGAUGUUUGAAACAUACUUUAGUGGAGUGCUUUCCAACGAAGCCUCGUUGGGGAGCUCUCGAUUUGCUAUCGUGUGUCAGUUUAAUCUCUAUCCAAAGAUUAUAAUUCUAUCAUCCAAAAUUUGUACCCAAAAAAAAAAUUAGGUUUAGUUUUAAAAAAUAUCCGACGAAUUUUCGGAUGGAGAUAAAACUAAU
rnacentral:lncRNA from 1 species